UCAACGGAAGAAUUGCAUCUGAAACUACAAACCUUGAGUAUAGGAGGGGAGAGUGGAACUUCUGGUGGAGCGGUGAAAUGCGUAGAUAUCAGAAGGAACGCCGGCGGCGAAAGCGACUCUCUGGCCUAUUACUGACACUGAGUGUGCGAAAGCUAGGGGAGCAAACGGGAUUAGAUACCCCGGUAGUCCUAGCCGUAAACGAUGGGCACUAAGUAG
rnacentral:rRNA from 1 species